rnacentral:rRNA from 1 species
UGGGGGAUAUUGCACAAUGGGGGGAACCCUGAUGCAGCGACGCCGCGUGAAGGAAGAAGUAUCUCGGUAUGUAAACUUCUAUCAGCAGGGAAGAAAAUGACGGUACCUGACUAAGAAGCCCCGGCUAACUACGUGCCAGCAGCCGCGGUAAUACGUAGGGGGCAAGCGUUAUCCGGAUUUACUGGGUGUAAAGGGAGCGUAGGCGGCAGUGCAAGUCAGAAGUGAAAGCCCGGGGCUCAACUCCGGGACUGCUUUUGAAACUGUACAGCUUGAUUGCAGGAGAGGCAAGUGGAAUUCCUAGUGUAGCGGUGAAAUGCGUAGAUAUUAGGAGGAACACCAGUGGCGAAGGCGGCUUGCUGGACUGUAAAUGACGCUGAGGCUCGAAAGCGUGGGGAGCAAACAGG